rnacentral:lncRNA from 10 species
CUUAAUUGAAAUUAUGGGAGGAGUCCUCCUAGUGGAAUUAGUGUCCUUAUAAGUAUAAACACCAGACACCUGUUCUCUCUCUACCUACUCUGUGAGGACCCAGCUAGAGAGUGUCUGUUUGCAAGCCAGGAGCAGAGCUUUCGCCAGAAACCAGCCAUGCUGGCAUCUUCAUCUUGGACUUCUAGCCUUCAGACUAUGGGAAAAUAAAUUUCUGCUGGUUAAGCUACUCAAUCUAUGGUGUUUUGUUGUGGCAGCGUGAGCUGAAAAAGACAGGGAGAAACUGGGAAAAAGGUGAUUUCACACAGUAUCCUUCACCAGAAUUUGGUUACACAUUGGGGAGCCACUACUGCUCUUUUAGAAAUGAGAAAACUGAACCCGCUAGAGGAUAUAAACCAGCAAGGUGCUUUGACAAGACGCUUGUUAAAUGGAGAAUGGAACCAGGUUAUUCACUGUGACUGUGUUGAUGAACCUACAUAUCAAAUAUAGCUUUCAAGGAGUAUUAACCUUUUGGGAGAGGCCUUACGGGGAAAACACCAAGUCCCUGGACAAGGGGAAGACACCAAAUCCCUGGACUCAGGCCUCACAUGAUUGAGUGAGAGGAACUCUGCUGUCAGACCCUACAAUGCACUCUUCAGUGGAAGAGGAUCACACAUUCCAAACAUACUCCAUCAGGUCAUAUGUUAAAUGACAGGGCUGAGACCUCUCCACAGCACAUCUGAUACUGGGAUCGAUGAAGAUCAGAUGUGCAAAUCACACUGGGCUCCGGAAAGCCCUAGACUGUGUCAUUCAAGGUGGGAGGAUUUGCUUCUCUGAAUGCCAACAAAGAAUGCUGGCCUCAGUGGUGGCUAUUCCUUACUCCAUGUAAGAGAAUCAACAAAGCAAGCCCUGGGAAAUACAAACCCUGGCCUGAGGAGGUGGAUGAACACUGAGAUAAGAAGUCAGAAGCCAAACUAUUUCCCAAUCUUAUCUUUUCAUUAGAACUGUGUAGGGUUUCCAUUCAAAGAAUGAGAGCUCUGCCCAUGUGUGGGUUGGGAUGUCCUUCCUUACUCUGACCACACUAUUCAGUGUCCUCUGGAAGAAACACCUGAAUGAUCUGAGCAAGAAUUCCCCAUGUCUUAUCACUUGGUACCUGGAGCACCCUUCUGCUGCCUCUUAUCAUGGUUUUCAUUCCCCAAGGUUUAUUAAGCCUGCAGUGGAGACAGGAUUCUGCCUGACUAGCCUUCCUUUUGAAAAAUCAGCACCUGUUAUAGACUGAAUUGUGUCUCUCCCUUCCACCACCAAGUUCACAUUUGACAUGUUGGAGCCCUAAGGUCCAAUGUGACUGUAUGUGGAAAUGGGUUCUUGAGAGGGGUGAUUAAAGUGAAAUGAAGCCAUAAAGGAGACCUGAUUCAAUAGGACUGUUGUCCUUACAAGAGGAGAAAGACACACCGGAGAAAUAGCCAUGUGAGGACACAGCAAGAAGGUGGCCAUCUGUAAGCAAGGAGGCCUCAGGAGAAGCCAAACCUGCAAACACCUUGAUCUUGGACUUCUAGCCUCCAGGACUUGAGAAAAUACAUUUCCAUUUUUCAAGCCUCUGAAUCUAUGAUAUCUGGUUUUAGCAGUCCUAGCAAACUGUAAUACAAUACCCAGUCUCCCCCUAUGGUGCAGGUGCUAAUGAUCCUCAUUUUAAUGCUGCAGUUCCAAUUGUGGGCAUGUGAUCAUUGCUCACUCCAUCAAAAAAUUCCAUCCUGGGCCUCAGAGAGUGGUUCAGGGUUGAGUAUUCAACCCAAGCCAGGCCAAUCGGAACAGUCCUGAGUUUUGCCCUAGGACACUGGGAAAGGGGGCACUCCAUUUUCCUCUGAGAUUGCUUAGUCAAUGGACUAUAAGCCUGCAGCUGCUGGGAUUCAUCUUUUCCACCAUGAAGGAAGGGGCUGUCUGAGAAUAAACCCAAGACAGAACACACAGAGCCAGAAGAUGGGGAGAUAAAGGUUCCAAACAUUGCUGUGGAAGCACCUGGCUCCAUCCUUACCUCCUGUUACCCACCCUAGACUUGAUGUUGUGUGAGCCAACAAACUCCCUCCAUGCCUCAGACACUGAGUUUCUUUCUCUCACAAUUAAAAAAAUCCUGACUAAAGCAGAUGCCUUCGUCUUGUCCUACAGU